rnacentral:rRNA from 1 species
UACGUAGGGUGCGAUCGUUAAUCGGAAUUACUGGGCGUAAAGUGUGCGCAGGCGGCAGAGCAAGUCGAGUGUGAAAGCCCCGGGCUUAACUUGGGAAUUGCGCUCGAAACUACUUUGCUGGAGUGUGGCAGAGGAAGGUGGAAUUCCACGUGUAGCGGUGAAAUGCGUAGAGAUGUGGAGGAACACCAAUGGCGAAGGCAGCCUUCUGGGCCAACACUGACGCUCAUGCACGAAAGCGUGGGGAGCAAACAGG